rnacentral:rRNA from 1 species
UACGUAGGGGGCUAGCGUUGUCCGGAUUUAUUGGGCGUAAAGAGCGUGUAGGCGGCCAGGUAGGUCUGCUGUGAAAACUCGAGGCUCAACCUCGAGACGUCGGCGGAAACCAUCUGGCUAGAGUCCGGGAGAGGAGAGUGGAAUUCCUGGUGUAGCGGUGAAAUGCGCAGAUAUCAGGAAGAACACCCGUGGCGAAAGCGGCUCUCUGGAACGGUACUGACGCUGAGACGCGAAAGCGUGGGGAGCGAACAGG